rnacentral:misc_RNA from 1 species
GAUGAAGAACGUAGCGAAAUGCGAUAAGUAGUGUGAAUUGCAGAAUUCAGUGAAUCAUCGAAUCUUUGAACGCACAUUGCGCCCCUUGGUAUUCCAUGGGGCAUGCCUGUUCGAGCGUCAUUUGUACCUUCAAGCUUUGCUUGGUGUUGGGUGUUUGUCUCGCCUCCGCGUGUAGACUCGCCUCAAAACAAUUGGCAGCCGGCGUAUUGAUUUCGGAGCGCAGUACAUCUCGCGCUUUGCUCUCACAACGACGACGUCCAAAAGUACAUUUUUACACUCUUGACCUCGGAUCAGGUAGGGAUACCCGCUGAACUUAAGCAUAUCAAUAAGCGGAGGA